UUUGCUCAAGUUAAGUCUUUAUACCAUAUGAAUGGUUCUGCACACUCUCGCUGCCAUAUCACUAAAAUUAUUUUUCCGUGUAAAUCAUUGGUCACACUUUUCUCAUAAUUCUACUCAGGUCAAAAUGUCGUAGAAAUUGUGUUUUCUGGUGUUUACGAGCAAGGAUGUCAGCAUUGUGGGUUGGGGCAUGGUUGGGCUUUGUCUUGGCGGAGUGGCUACAUACUUUAGAGUUGUGUUGAGGGAUUUUUUUGCAUUAGCAAUUAAUAACUCAAGUAUAUUUUUAAAGAUGUUUCUUGCUUGGUGCUCUUCUUUGGUUUCUGAUCAGUUUGUGCCUGUUGUGUAGUGUGUAGGCUAUGUUCUAUUGGUUUGGACUGCCUUGAAUUGUUUGUUAUCGGAUAGAAAAUGCAACUCAGUACUCCAUUAUGUGUCACAACAGGUUUGGUAUAGACGUUUCAGGCUGACUCCUUACUUUUGCUUGCUCGAAGUUUAAGGUGCAUGCCACUUAAUUUUCUUCACGGGAGGAGGGUUGGCCAGAAGUAGGUGAGGUAAAAAAGUAGGCUCCAUCCCUCUUACAUCUGUUCAGACUACUGAAUUUGGUUCCCUUACUCAUUUCAGUUUCACUUGGUGUAUGUGAAGCAAUGCAAUUUACUUCCAUUGCUGCCAUCUUGCUUUUCGUGAGUUAAUUCUGUACAAUUAGUCAACAUUGUAGACGGUGGCCUGAUAGAGCGUUUUCUGUAAUGCAUGGUUAAAUAGCUUUUAGGUUGAUUUGAUAAGACAACUUUUUCUAAUGUCAGGCUUAGUUUACUUUUUGUAAGAGUAGGUUUGAUCCAUGUAAAUAUGCUUUAACAACUGAAAUUUUGACACAUGACAUGUUUUUAUUUGUUAUAUUUUAAGCUUGAAACUCAAAUCUCAGCUAUUCCCUAAAUAUUUAAAUACUGAACCUUUUGUUUUCUACACUGCCAUGGUCUCCGUGGUAUUAUUUUGAUAGCCUCACAACCACUAAUUGCUAUUAUAUAAAAAAAAAGGGCAACCUGGUGCAUGUAGCUCCCGCUUGCGCAGGGUCCAGGGAAGGGUCCGACCACUUUGGGUCUAUAGUACGCAGCCUUUCCCUACAUUUCUGUAAGAGGCUGUUUCCAGGACUUGAACCCAUGACCUCAUGGUCACAAGGCAGCAGCUUUACCACUGCGCCAAGGCUCCCCUUCUACUAAUUGCUAUUAUAUGAAAUGAUAAAUUAAUGUGGGCAGUCAUGACUAUUUUAUACAUCGAUGGUCUAAACUAGAAAUGUUUGACUGCGCGUUACACAUCAAGGAGGGGGUAUUCAUGUGUGUGGUCUGCAGUGGUAUAUCAGUUAAAGAUGUGCUAAUUUUGUUGUUAAUGCUUUGACAUGCUAUGAAAGUUUUCUGUAUGGCAAAGGACGUGUUCCUUACUUUCUCCUGUGUAUUUAUUUCAGAAGUUCUUCGAGCAUUUGUUUUUAACUUGUAGCUUAUAUUGACAGCCAUGGUUGUGUGCCUUGGUAGAUUGAAGUAGUGGCAUGUAACUGAUUUCACAUUCUUCUAUGAAUAAUACCCGGACUGCUCUGUGCUAGAUACAUCCGCUUGAGCGACAAUUAGUUCCAGACGGAGGGAGUAUGUUUUUUGAAGACUGCUCUGUCUUUUUUCCUUCUAGUUACUGGCCAUAAGCCCUUAGCUAAUGCCAACUCUGCUGUAACAUGCCUAUUGACCACCAGAAACCACUUUGUUUUCUGUGUAUGCUGGCCAUUUCAGUGUAGUUGUUUGAUAUGCUGCCAACAACUUUGCCCUUUCUUCUUUCUUACUCCCUCGGUCCCAUAAUGUAGUGCACAUUGGUUUUCCUGAAAGUCAAGCUUCAAAAACAUUGACCAAAUUAUUGAGAAAAAUCUAAUAUGUUUCAUGAAAAUAUAUAUCAAAUAUAUAUCACAUGAAAAUAUAUUUCAUGAUGAAUCAAUUGCUUUUUAUUUCGUAUUUUGGAUGUUGAUAAUUUGUUUCUGUAUAUUUGGUCAAAGUUUACAAGGUUUGACUUAAAAAAAAUCUAAUAUGUACUAUAUUUUGGGACAGAGGGAGUGCUAUUUAGUUAUUUCCUCGAGCAAAUCGAUGCUUAUUUAUGCUAAUGCAUAUGUUGUUUUAGUUCUAGUUGUGUGCAUGGCAUAUUGUUUUUCUAGAAGAUGCAGUUCUGAAUUUUCUCAUGGGUCUAUGAAUCUAUUAUUGCAUGAACUGGUGAUAUGCGGUCAAGUUGACUGACACCAUUUGGCAUUUCUAGUGCUUGAGUUGACAAAUUCGAUGUAAUCAAAUAGUGUCCCUAGAACUUAAAAAGUCAUCUAUUUAUCUAGUGUAAGUGUUGUCCUUUCCUUUUUAUGUGCCGGAAUUCUUCUACAUUCUGAGCAUCAACACACUUUUAGAUAGUACACUGGCACUGCUGCACUGGUGAUUCUAUCUUCUUUAAUACUCCCUCUCUUCACUUUUAUAAGACGUUUUAGACAGUUUAGACAGCACCCAAAACAGUCCAAUGCCAGCUCUGAAACGUCUUAUAAACGGAGGGAGUAUGUGAUUUAUGCUUCUGAAAGUGUCCACUAGGUUUUAUUGCUUGAUGAAUUGAGUGUUGUUUUUUGAGGAAUUGACUGUUGUAUUUGCUUAUAGGUGCAAUAUUUUGUAUCAAAUUUACCUUUAACAAUCUGUUACUAACCUUGGUUUUCCUUUGUCUCUGUCCCUUUUUUCGUCCCCUCCAAUGAUGGUGCCUGGACUAUGACCUCUGCCUUUUCAUGUUUGAUUUUCCUCUGCUGCUGCUAGGUAUUGUUUUGGCUUUUGUUUAUACAGGGUGCAUACUCACAUAAUGCUCCUUGCUCUGAAACAUUUAGUUUGACGGCCAUAUUCUGUUUGUACAUGCAAUUAUUUCUAAUAUGUAAGCAUAUUUGUAGGAUCAUACAGUGGCAGACUACGCACUCUCUAUAGUUAGUAUAUUUACUUACAGUCUUGGAUACACUAAAUGAGAACAAAGUUUGGAUGUGUCAUUGUCUGCACUCAAAUAGUUUCCUGAUGAAUAUGACGGAGCUACAUCUCUUUGACUGAAGAAAAUGAGGACCAAGCUCUCAAGACAGUUUUGUGUCUUCCACAGCAGGGCAAUUGCCUGAAAGAACCAUAACGUCAGUCCAUGCAUUCAGUUGUCUGUGCAGCAGCCUGCCAGCUGUCAUUUGAUUUGUAAUAACAUUAAUGUGGUCAUGUAGGUUACACAUGUACUAAGAACUGGUUGACUAUGUAUGACCAUCAGGUGAACUAAUAUUUCCUAUUAUUUGUUCAUUUCAGCCGUUUCACUUUCGUUUGUUACAUGUAUGUACAGGUACAAUGUCAUUGUCAUAUUAAUACUAUCGACGUGUGUUUGGUUCGCUCUCCGGUAACGUAUUCGUUCUGGUAAAGAGAAGCACCGGUUUCCAAUGUUUUCUCACUGAAUACAUGUUUUGUUUCCAAUGUUUUCUCACCGAAUACAUGUUUUGUUUGGUUGAGCGUCCAACCUCCGUUUUCCUAAUCAGCUCCGGUCCGGCUGUUUUCGGUUUUGCGAAGCCACGCGUCGUAUGUGUCUACCAUGUGCCAUGUACAUUUGUGCACGUCGUAAAACCUCGAUAGAAGCAAAGAACUUUGCCAAAAAAGAAAAAGAAAA
rnacentral:lncRNA from 1 species